rnacentral:rRNA from 1 species
UAGAGUUUGAUCCUGGCUCAGAUUGAACGCUGGCGGCAUGCUUUACACAUGCAAGUCGCACGGGUGCGGGGGGCAACUUCUGCAUGAGUGGCGAACGGGUGAGUAAUGCAUCGGAACGUACCGUGCAGUGGGGGAUAACGAGUCGAAAGAUUCGCUAAUACCGCAUACGUCCUGAGGGGGAAAGCGGGGGACCCGCGAGGGCCUCGUGCUAUACGAGCGGCCGAUGUCCGAUUAGCUAGUUGGUGGGGUAAAGGCCUACCAAGGCGACGACCGGUAGCGGGUCCGAGAGGACGGCCCGCCACACUGGGACUGAGACACGGCCCAGACUCCUACGGGAGGCAGCAGUGGGGAAUUUUGGACAAUGGGCGCAAGCCUGAUCCAGCCAUGCCGCGUGAGUGAAGAAGGCCUUCGGGUUGUAAAGCUCUUUCGGCCGGGAAGAAAUCGCGCAGGUAAAUAAUCUGUCUGGAUGACGGUACCGAAGAAGAAGC